rnacentral:lncRNA from 1 species
CGGCGACCACUCCCUUCGCAAAUACACCAUACUCGAUCCCUCCCCAACUCAAUUGAGCCUUCCACCACUUUCGCCGCACUCUUGCGAACCCAGAGCGCUCCCUAGCACGCCCUCUAACCCGCCCAAUCGCUGGAGCUUCUUCUUCUUCCCCAACUCCGGCCGAAAGCGCCGCCGUGGGCGCUUCACGUGGCCAGCCCUCCUCCGUGCUUCUCCACCAGUUCUGAGCAGCUUGACGAAGUCGUGCUGAGCCCCUGAUGCUCCCCAACUCGUCCCCUCGCCUUCCCGGCGGCCGGAGCGCCAAGUUUUCCCCUAGCCCCGUCCAGAGCUCCGCCAGUGCCGCUGUUCACGUGGCCAUGCCUCCACAGACCACCUCUGGCCAAGUAGAGGGAACCAGAGGGUGUGCGUGAGUCCAAGUGAACUCCCCCGCUGCUCCACUGCCGCCGACGAGCACCCCAACGUCGAAACUGCGAUCUCCGUUUUCAGUUCGCGGCCAGGGACUUCGCGCGACAAUUUGAUGUUCUCCAGGGAUCUAAUUGCACAGACUGUGACUCAGGUGAAUAGUGCUAUAAGGACUUGUUUGUAGAUGUUUUGUUGAAUCUUUGAAAAUUCAUAUCUGGAGUUUGGUAACUCCAAUUUUGGUGAACCAAAUUUUGUUGUGCUCCUUAGGAUGUCUAGUUUUUAUUAAAAAUAUGAAACUGACCAUGUUUUGUAGUAAAAUAAUUAGUUAUGAUUUAUGCCUUUUAAUUAUGUUUCAAAAGGAGAAAUUCAUAUCUCAUUCUGUAUAGCUCCUAUUUCUCUGAAAUUUUUAUGGUGUUCUCGUGAUGUUAUGUGAGUGUUGCAGUAAAAAUUUCAUGUUCAGUAGAUGACAUAUGGUUAUGUUAUUGAUUUAUCUUGUGUAGUGCUUAUUAAAUAGUUCACAAUUAAACUAAAAAUGAAUAAAUGUAAAAUAAAGUUCCUCUGCCUUUAUAUGAGGUUGUUAUAACAUAUAGAUACAUACUUUAGCUAUGUGUUUGUAUAAAAUGUUGAGUUUCUUAUUUAUCUUGCCGUUACAUGCUUCCUUGUGAUGGAAAUUUAUCUUUUUCAUGAAAAUUGCUAUACUUAUCCAAAUGGCAUGAAACUUAUACAGUAGACUUUGGAGAGCAUAUAUGAGCUGCUGUAGUUUUCUCAGAAUUUACGGUGUACUUUUGAUAUAUGGUUAUUACUUUGUCUAUUUACCUAAAUAAAUUAAUAAAGACAUGAAAGGAAUUUAUUUAGAGAUGACCAUGAUGUUUUCUAGUAUCUCUUUGAUGUAUUUCAACUAUUGGUGAGCUGGGUUUUGCCCAGGUCCAAGUUUGGAACAUAAAUGAAAUGUUAUUUGUCUAUAAUUAAAUUAUUAGUGAUUUCUGGAUCAGUUUCUGUAGUUGUGCAAUUUGGACCUACUAAACUUGUGAAUCAUGAUUUGAUGAUGAAAGAUAAAUUGUAGUAAUUUUCAUAAGCUUUCCAAAAUGUUAUGGAUCAUGACGUUUGGUGAUCUAGAACUCUGGUUAUAGAGGUAUAAAGCUUAAUGUCUGAUCCUGUCCAAAGUCUGGACAGAAUUGUUUAUUCAAGCUGUUUGGCUAUUUUAUCUUUUAAAUCAGUUCUCGAAGAUAAUAACAAAGUUGUAGAAAAAUUAUCUAAGCUUUCCAGAAAGUCUAAUAUCACCUUUAUUGGAUGUUUGGAUCUCUAAUUAUGGUUGAAUGAAGUUGUGUAUAUGCUGCUGUCCUGGUUAUGUGUGCAAAUAGAGUUGUUUGUUUUUAGCUAGCCUUUACUUAAAUAAUGAGUUGCUUAAUUUCCAAAUUAGAAUUUGAGUGCUUUUGGGAUUGUGUGAUGACCUGAGGUCAUUAUCUUUCAAUGACCUUUGGCACUUAAUUAUUGUUUGAUGUUAAUACUUAAUUACUGCCAUUAAUAUUUAAUUAAGGAUUGAUUAAGAUAAAUAGAAAACCUAAUCAUUUUAGGUUUUGUUUGAUCUUUGGGAUUGAUAGACAACCACUGGUUACCUGGCAUGAUAUGUUCCUUGGUUAUAGAUUAUUUCAUAUAAAUGAUCUUUGUUGCCUGAUAGCUACACAACCUUGCUUAAUGAAGAUGAUAAAAUUUGCUUAGUAAUAAUCUAUGCUUUGAUAACUAAGUUAGUUUGUUUCUAUACCGUGAAGGUAAGUUGUACUCGAGGUAGUUAUAAUUGUUAUUAUCAUCCAAGAACGUGUAACCUGUCUUUAUCAUGUCAUGAACAUCUCAUUGAUCAUGCAUAUGCACCUCUACGUGUAGACUACGCUCCGGAGGAAUCUAAUCCUCACUGGGUUGCUUCCGAGUUUGUGGAUCCAUCUGGUUUUGCUGAGUUGUCGGACUUCCCUUCCGGCCAAGGCAAGCCCCGGACAUAUCCUUGUAUUUUCAUAAAGUCAUUUAUAUCACUUGAGUUAAUAUGAUGCAUUAGGUGAAUAGGAGUUGAGUGAAUCCUAUUUGCUGCAUUACCUACCUUGGUGAUUCUUAUAUUAACCUUGAUACCUGUUUAUGAAAAUGCUUAGUAUGCUUAGUCCUGCUUAUUAGAUAGGUUUUCAAAUGAGAAAGUUUGAAGGGUUGUUGUGGAAUACUUUUGUGGUCAAUAAUGUUCAACUUGAGACCGGUCGGCGGACUUGCUUUAAGAAUGGAGUCUUAAAGUAGUGUCUCCAACUGUGUCGAUUAAGGACCGUUCCGUUGAUGGCCUGCUGUGUUUGAGACCUUUGAGUACAGCCCACAUGCGGUGGUAAGCCUUACCUAUAGCUAUUCCGAUACUUGAGAACGGCUAACCGCGCACUGGGAGUGGAGAGAUGGCGAGAGUAGCGUGUACCCACCUUACGGAUCUGAGAUGACCGGGAAACAUCUAGAUUGGCUGUAGGAUGGUGGUGUACUGUACUCUCGGGUGACGCUGGACCCGUUCUUGUAUGGGAGGAUCUAUAGAAACAGGUUGACAUAUGCAAGAUUAAGUUCUACAUAUGUCGUGUGGUACUGAAUCCCCAGCUGGGUCUAAUCGAUUCGAAUCGCCGUGUUUCCUCGGAUAUGGAGCCUCAAUCCUCACACCAUCAUCGUAGUAAUAAAUGGAUCUUUGGUAAGAGAAAGAGGUGGUAUGCUUAUGAAAGUUUGAUAAUAGUUUUGGUUAGUCAUAAAUGAUGAUCUUGAGUUAAAACUUGAAAGUAGGUUUACUCUUAGUAAGCUUUUAUGCAAAAGAAAUGCUUGAUCUUGAUAAAGCUUUACCUUAAAUCCCUAUAGCCUACAUACCUGAGUCUUCACCUCUUUUCUAGUCGGUUAAGUCUUGUUGAGUACUUUUGUACUCAGGGUUUUAUAACCCCUGUUGCAGGUGCUAACUUAGACUGCUAAUGGAGGUCAUGUCGGUGGGCGCGACAUGAUUUAUCCACCUCUUCUACCUUAGAAGCUUCACCUAAGAUGCUUCCGCUACUCUACACACCUUUUGGAAAUUUAGUUAAGUUUGUACUUCAUCAUAUGUUGUAAAUUAAGUAAUAAAUCUUCCGCACACUGAUGUAAGUUAUUUUUGAAACAAAUGUUGUAAUGUUGUGGUAACUCCAUGUUGAUCCUGUAUGAGUUAAAAUGUGGAUGAUUCGGGGUCCUCCGAGGGCACCCGACAGACUUCUUGAGUCAUUUGGAACUCGUGCACGUCGAUCAAAAGUCUUUGAGACAAUGAUGGGUGCAUGUGGGCCAAUUAAUUCAGGAGGUUCUGCCACAGAGUGGUAUCAGAGCUCAUACAUGGAUCUUCUACAACAUUACUAGUGAAAAACUUCAAAACGAAUUUACAAAUUAAUAGUUUUGAGGAUAACAACUUGUAAAUGCUCCUUAACUUUUCUUAUGCUUGCUGUCCGGGUUCUACGAAGACUUUCUGCUAACUCAAAUAGAAGACAUUGAAAGAGACUUCAAGUCUUUGGCAAGCCAAGUGAAGAAUCAAACCACAAUGCUUUGUCAAGAGUCUUGCAGCAUUCCGUCUGGAGCACUCUCGCCGUUGUAAAGACGUAUAGGCGAGCAUAUUGCAUAUCAUGCAUAACAUGACAAUAUAAUGAUACUUAAAAGCCCCUCCUUAUGCUUCAAAAACAGUUAUUAUUUGUUAUAGCUGUUUUAUUGAUGAAUCUCAUCAUGUACCAGGUUUCGUUAACUGAUUGAUAAUCUUUUACUCCAUAAGAUCCUAAUCCUUGAUUCAUUUGUUAUGCAUGUGACCUUCCUUGAUUUCAUCUAAUUCGUACACAUGCUACCUCCUUGAUGUCAUUUGUCAACAUUUCUGUUGAUUGAAUGUCACUAUGAUUGUGUCCUCUUAAGGUACCAUGACCCAUAACUUAGGUAACAACGCCGAAACCUGGGGUCUCCUAUGGCUCGCGACCAUAAGGAAAUACUGCCGGGCGCUCGCUGUUAUCAAAGUCUAUGAUCAUGAUCCCUUAUAGACCCACAACUUAGGUGAUCUCACUCUUUGGACCAUAUUAUGGGAAUCCAUGCCCAUAUCUCUUUGGAAUUACCUGAAGCCCCUGACUUGGAUAACCAACAUAGGUCAUUGAAAGCUAUGGUAACCGUACUCUAUAGUAGGUACCAUGAUCCGUGAUCACGUUAUAGCGUCGAACCUUGUAGUCUCCUGUGGACUGCAGCCAUAAGGAAAUACUACAGGGUGCUCGUUAAACAUCGGGAUCUCUGGUCAUGCUCCACUAUAAUCUACUGUUAGUGUGCUUUCAUUCUCCUUGGAAGCUCAUUUGGAGAUUCAUAUCUUCGUAUGAAUUCUCUAAAAUUCCUGAUUGAUUACAACUUCUUGUUGAUCUUAGUUGUAAUUCUCGGACCAAUCAUAAUUGUUGUAUGAACUUCUCAGAAGUUAAUGUGCUUGAUACAUUCCCUUUUCCAUUACAUAACCCCACGGGUUUUAGUACCCUGGAAAUCUCGGGACGAGAUUUCUUUAAGGGGGAAGGGCUGUAACAUCCCUGAUGUUACGAACACUAAAACUGGAUCAUGUCAUCAUAAGCAUUGCAAAGCAUAUUUGUUGAGCACAUCAUUAUGCAUCAACUUAAAAAUAAGUUUAUUUUGGUUGAUUGUGCUUAGGGAAUUAAAGUGUGUUUAUCAUGCUUGUGAUGGUUGUUUAAUCCCUAGUUAAGGAGGGUGGUAAGGGAAUAGCUAAGAAAAACCCCUAAUUUCAACCCCAGUUUUUACCUCCUUUUGUGUAACUUAAAAACUAAGCAAAAUUUGGGGAUGAGUUCAAAAGAAAAGUUGUAGAUAUUAUCAAGGUGUACAACUUUGGUGUUUUGAGUUUUUGAAGUUUCAGUAAAAAUUCAAAGUAAUUUUGAAAAUACAGAUUUCCAGAAAUUUUUCCCUUUUCCAAUUUGAAUCCCCAAUUCAAAAUCUAUUUGGAAUCUUGAAAAGUGGCCAACAUAAAAGUUGUAGAUCUCAAAAAGUUAAACAACUUUUAUGUUGGAAAUUUUAAGUUGUUUUAGAAAAUCAAAAGUAAUUUUGGAAUUUCUAAUCUGCCCCAAUUCAAAAUUGGAAUUUUUCCCAAUUUGAGAUUUGAAUUUCAAAAUGUUUGGCUCAAAUUCGUCCAUUUCCAUUUAAAAUCAGCCUUGGACCCUUAAAGAUGUUUUGUAGCAUUCAAAAUUCUGAACAAGUUUUAUUUUAGCAGAAAUUUGACUUCAGUUCAAUUUUUGAGAGUAAUUUGCAAAAGAUAGGGAAGGGAGGGAUAGAGCUUGCUACAGUAUCCGGAUAUGGAUCACGAGUCCAGUCACCGCGCGGCCGCAGGCCAUGCAGCGCCGCGCGCGCCUCGCCGCCACGCAGCUACUUGCCGGCCGCGUCACCACGCGACGUGGACGCCCGCGACCCCUCCGCUUCGUCCUUUUGAAUGCCCACGCGGCCGACUUCGAGUUCCUCUGUUUUCGACGGCCAAAACCACCGGCGACCACUCCCUUCGCAAAUACACCAUACUCGAUCCCUCCCCAACUCAAUUGAGCCUUCCACCACUUUCGCCGCACUCUUGCGAACCUAGAGCGCUCCCUAGCACGCCCUCUAACCCGCCCAAUCGCUGGAGCUUCUUCUUCUUCCCCAACUCCGGCCGAAAGCGCCGCCGUGGGCGCAUCACGUGGCCAGCCCUCCUCCGUGCUUCUCCACCAGUUCUGAGCAGCUUGACGAAGUCGUGCUGAGCCCCUGAUGCUCCCCAACUCGUCCCCUCGCCUUCCCGGCGGCCGGAGCGCCAAGUUUUCCCCUAGCCCCGUCCAGAGCUCCGCCAGUGCCGCUGUUCACGUGGCCAUGCCUCCACAGACCACCUCUGGCCAAGUAGAGGGAACCAGAGGGUGUGCGUGAGUCCAAGUGAACUCCCCCGCUGCUCCACUGCCGCCGACGAGCACCCCAACGUCAAAUCUGCGA